AGCAGUGGCUUCAGCCCAAGACAAACUCACCAGUUUUCUUCACCUCAGCUAUAUCCUUCCAACAGACCAUACCCACAUAUUCUCCCUACCCCUUCUUCGCAAACUAUGGCUGCAUAUGGGCAGACACAGUUUACCACCGGAAUGCAACAAGCUUCUACUUAUUCAGCAUACCCACAGCCUGGUCAACACUAUGGAAUCCCAUCAUAUGGCAUCAAGACAGAAGGUGGA